rnacentral:rRNA from 1 species
AUACGGAGGAUCCGAGCGUUAUCCGGAUUUAUUGGGUUUAAAGGGAGCGUAGGCGGACGCUUAAGUCAGUUGUGAAAGUUUGCGGCUCAACCGUAAAAUUGCAGUUGAUACUGGGUGUCUUGAGUACAGUAGAGGCAGGCGGAAUUUGUGGUGUAGCGGGGGAAUGCUUAGAUAUCACGAAGAACUCCGAUUGCGAAGGCAGCCUGCUGGACUGUAACUGACGCUGAUGCUCGAAAGUGUGGGUAUCAAACAGGAUUAGAUACCCUGGUAGUCCACACAGUAAACGAUGAAUACUCGCUGUUUGCGAUAUACAGUAAGCGGCCAAGCGAAAGCGUUAAGUAUUCCACCUGGGGAGUACGCCGGCAACGGUGAAACUCAAAUGAAUUGACGGGG